rnacentral:miRNA from 14 species
CAUCUGUUUGAAAACAUGGUCCCAUCGCUUCUCGGCCUUUUGGCUAAGAUCAAGUGUGAAAAAAUGGUGCCCAGUUAAUGGAACUUUUGGGAAGG